rnacentral:lncRNA from 1 species
UACAAGAAACUGUAUUGCCAAGCUCCUACUUGGAUGAAAAAAUUUAAAUAACUUCUAUAUGCACUGAAGAUUGACCUGAGGCAUCUUACUCUUUUUUUUUUUCAACUUAUGUUCAUUACUUGCUAGUGAUUUAUACUCCUGUCAAGUGGACAGGGCGUAACCUAUCCUCUGCACACUUACUUACUUUCUCCUGAUUCUAGGGAGUCGUGUAUUCACCUCACAGGAGUUGUGUUUAGUAACUUGGGUGUCAUAUCAGAUGUUGUUAGUGCAACAACAAAUAGCUAAUCUAUAAAAGGAACCUAGAUCCUAAAUACAAGACAAAAGCAAGUACUUUCAGGUGAGAAUGAUACAUAAUGAUGUGGGAGCCCAGAGGAAGGAGUAAAUCUGAGAUGCUCAGAAGGCUUUGAAUGACAAAUGACACUGGGAAAGUAUGGGGAAGAUAGACAUUUGCAUGUAUGCAUGUGCACACACACACACACACACACACAUACACAAGUGUGGUUAGGUGUCAUUUGGAAAUAGAAAGGAUCUUGGUAAAGUUUUAGAGCUCACAGUAAAAAAUUAAGCACAAGGAAGGAAAUAAUCAGAACAUAUUGAGGGAUAUUUUUGAAUAGAGAUGAACUGAGAGAUUCUCUGGAUGAGCGGUUCUCAACCUUCCUGAUGCUGUGACCCUUUAACACAGUUCCUCAUGCUGUGGUGACCCCCACCCAUAAAUUAUUUUCAUUGCUACUUCAUAACUGUAAUUUUGCUACUGUUAUGAAUUAUGUAAAUUGUUGGUUUCUAGUCAAAAGUCUGUGGUGUCAGGACUCAUUUUAGAAAAGUACAUGGGC